GGCGGCACGAGGCUGGGGAGCAGUAAAGUACACUUCCCGUUAAGGCUGAGUGCUGACAGGACCGAAAAAGAGUAGGGAAGCGUCUGAGUUCACGCUGGCGAGAAAAGCUGCUAAGGAGAGUGUGAGUGCCCGUACCGGGAACCGACGCAGGUGGGCGAGGAGAGAAUCCUGAGACGGACGGGAGAACUCUUGUUAAGGAACUCGGCAAAAUGACCCCGUAACUUCGGGAGAAGGGGUGCCUCGAAAGAGGCCGCAGAGAAUAGUCACAAGCGACUGUUUAGCAAAAACACAGGUACCUGCGAAAGCGAGAGCUGACGUAUAGGUGCUGACGCCUGCCCGGUGCUGGAAGGCUAAGGGGAAGUGUUAGGGGGAACCCGAAGCAGAGAACCGAAGCCCCAGUAAACGGCGGCCGUAACGAUAACGGUCCUAAGGUAGCGAAAUUCCUUGUCGGGUAAGUUCCGACCCGCACGAAUGGCGUAACGACUUGUGAGCUGUCUCAACAGGAGGCCCGGUGAAAUUGAAGUAUGUGUGAAGAUGCACAUUACCCGCGACUGGACGGAAAGACCCCGUAGAGCUUUACUGUAACCUGACAUUGGAUCUUGAUAACGGAUGCACAGGAUAGGUGGGACGCUGGGAGGUAUGGACUUUGGUCUGUACGGAGCGGACGUUGGGAUACCACUCUUCUGUUAUUGAGAUUCUAACCUCAAGCCGUAAGCCGGAUGAGAGACAGUGUCAGGCGGACAGUUUGACUGGGGCGGUCGCCUCCGAAAGAGUAACGGAGGCGCCCAAAGGUACCCUCAGAAUGGAUGGAAACCAUUCGAAGAGAGCAAAGUCAGAAGGGUGCUUGACUGCGAGACCAACAAGUCGAGCAGGUACGAAAGUAGGGCUUAGUGAUCCGGCGGUAAGAGAGUGGAAUUGCCGUCGCUCAACGGAUAAAAGCUACCUCGGGGAUAACAGGCUGAUCUCCCCCAAGAGUUCACAUCGACGGGGAGGUUUGGCACCUCGAUGUCGGCUCGUCGCAUCCUGGGGCUGAAGCAGGUCCCAAGGGUUUGGCUGUUCGCCAAUUAAAGCGGCACGCGAGCUGGGUUCAGAACGUCGUGAGACAGUUCGGUCCCUAUCCAUCGUGGGCGAAGGACACAUGAGAGGAGCUGCUCCUAGUACGAGAGGACCGGAGUGGACGCAUCACUGGUGCAACUGUUGUCGUGCCAACGGCACAGCAGGGAAGCGAAAUGCGGAUGGGAUAAACGCUGAAGGCAUCUAAGCGUGAAGCCCACCUCAAGAAUAAGUGUCCCAUUCGAAAGAAGUAAGACCCCUGGAAGACUACCAGGUGAUAGGUCAUCGGUGAAAGAGCGGUAACGUUUGGAGCUUGAUGAUACUAAUCGGUCGAGGACUUGAUC
rnacentral:rRNA from 1 species